rnacentral:rRNA from 1 species
AGACCUACGGGAGGCAGCAGUGAGGAAUAUUGGUCAAUGGGCGCGAGCCUGAACCAGCCGAGUCGCGUGAGGGAUGACGGUCCUACGGAUUGUAAACCUCUUUUGCCGGGGAGCAAGCGUGCGUUCGUGAACGCGCGUCGAGAGUACCCGGAGAAAAAGCAUCGGCUAACUCCGUGCCAGCAGCCGCGGUAAUACGGAGGAUGCGAGCGUUAUCCGGAUUUACUGGGUGUAAAGGGAGCGUAGGUGGCAUGGUAAGCCAGAAGUGAAAACCCAGGGCUCAACUCUGUGGAUUGCUUUUGGAACUA